rnacentral:rRNA from 1 species
CAGUCGCCGCGGUAAUACAGAGGGUGCAAGCGUUAAUCGGAAUUACUGGGCGUAAAGCGCGCGUAGGUGGUUUGUUAAGUUGGAUGUGAAAUCCCCGGGCUCAACCUGGGAACUGCAUCCAAAACUGGCAAGCUAGAGUAUGGUAGAGGGUGGUGGAAUUUCCUGUGUAGCGGUGAAAUGCGUAGAUAUAGGAAGGAACACCAGUGGCGAAGGCGACCACCUGGACUGAUACUGACACUGAGGUGCGAAAGCGUGGGGAGCAAACAGGAUUAGAUACCCCCGUAGUCACUGUCUCUUAUAC